AGUGAACGCUGGCGGUAGGCCUAACACAUGCAAGUCGAACGGCAGCACAGUAAGAGCUUGCUCUUACGGGUGGCGAGUGGCGGACGGGUGAGGAAUACAUCGGAAUCUACUUUUUCGUGGGGGAUAACGUAGGGAAACUUACGCUAAUACCGCAUGCGACCUACGGGUGAAAGCAGGGGAUCUUCGGACCUUGCGCGAUUGAAUGAGCCGAUGUCGGAUUAGCUAGUUGGCGGGGUAAAGGCCCACCAAGGCGACGAUCCGUAGCUGGUCUGAGAGGAUGAUCAGCCACACUGGAACUGAGACACGGUCCAGACUCCUACGGGAGGCAGCAGUGGGGAAUAUUGGACAAUGGGCGCAAGCCUGAUCCAGCCAUACCGCGUGGGUGAAGAAGGCCUUCGGGUUGUAAAGCCCUUUUGUUGGGAAAGAAAAGCAGCAGGUUAAUACCCCGCUGUUCUGACGGUACCCAAAGAAUAGGCACCGGCUAACUUCGUG
rnacentral:rRNA from 1 species